CGUAGGCAGCGAGCGUUGUUCGGAGUUACUGGGCGUAAAGAGUAUGUAGGCGGUUGCGUAAGUUUGGUGUGAAAUCUCCCGGCUUAACUGGGAGGGUGCGCCGAAAACUGCGGAGCUAGAGUGUGGGAGAGGAAAGCGGAAUUCCUGGUGUAGCGGUGAAAUGCGUAGAUAUCAGGAGGAACACCGGCGGUGUAGACGGCUUUCUGGACCAUUACUGACGCUGAGAUACGAAAGCGUGGGUAGCAAACAGG
rnacentral:rRNA from 1 species